rnacentral:rRNA from 1 species
AUACGUAGGGUGCGAGCGUUGUCCGGAAUUACUGGGCGUAAAGAGCUCGUAGGUGGUUUGCCGCGUCGUCUGUGAAAUUCCGGGGCUUAACUCCGGGCGUGCAGGCGAUACGGGCAUAACUUGAGUACUGUAGGGGAGACUGGAAUUCCUGGUGUAGCGGUGAAAUGCGCAGAUAUCAGGAGGAACACCGGUGGCGAAGGCGGGUCGCUGGGCAGUAACUGACGCUGAGGAGCGAAAGCAUGGGGAGGGAACAGGAUUAGAUACCCGGGUAGUCCAUGCCGUAAACGGUGGGCGCUAGGUGUAGGGGUCUUCCACGACUUCUGUGCCGUAGCUAACGCAUUAAGCGCCCCGCCUGGGGAGUACGGCCGCAAGGCUAAAACUCAAAGGAAUUGACGGGG